rnacentral:rRNA from 1 species
GACGAACGCUGGCGGCGUGCUUAACACAUGCAAGUCGAACGAAGUGGCGAACGGGGGAGUAACAUGUGGGUAACCUGCCCCCCUUUUUGGGAUAAGCCUUGGAAACGGGGUCGAACACCGACAAAAGGGGGAUGGGCUCGCGGCGUAUCAGCUGGUUGGUGGAGUGAUGGUCCACAAAGGCGAUGACGAGUUGCCGGCCUGAGAGGGUGACCGGCCACAUUGGGACUGAGAUACGGCCCAGAAUCCUACGGGAGGCAGCAGUGGGGGAGUUUGCACAAUGGGCGAAAGCCUGAUGCAGCGACGCCGCGUGGAGGAUGAAGGCCUUAGGGUUGUAAAGUACUUUCGGCGGGGAGGCGUUACCCGCAGAAGAAGCACCGGCUAACUCCGUGCCAGCAGCCGCGGUAAUAC